UUUUUUUUCCCCGGUACUUAAGCAUUAUCAAUAAGCGGAGGAAWAGAAACCAACAGGGAUUGCCCUAGUAACGGCGAGUGAAGCGGCAACAGCUCAAAUUUGAAAUCUGGCGUCUUCGGCGUCCGAGUUGUAAUUUGCAGAGGGCGCUUUGGCAUUGGCAGCGGUCCAAGUUCCUUGGAACAGGACGUCACAGAGGGUGAGAAUCCCGUACGUGGUCGCUAGCCUUUACCGUGUAAAGCCCCUUCGACGAGUCGAGUUGUUUGGGAAUGCAGCUCUAAAUGGGAGGUAAAUUUCUUCUAAAGCUAAAUACUGGCCAGAGACCGAUAGCGCACAAGUAGAGUGAUCGAAAGAUGAAAAGCACUUUGGAAAGAGAGUUAAAAAGCACGUGAAAUUGUUGAAAGGGAAGCGCUUGCAGCCAGACUUGCCUGUAGUUGCUCAUCCGGGUUUCUACCCGGUGCACUCUUCUAUAGGCAGGCCAGCAUCAGUUUGGGCGGUUGGAUAAAGGUCUCUGUCAUGUACCUCCUUUCGGGGAGAUCUUAUAGGGGAGACGACAUGCAACCAGCCUGGACUGAGGUCCGCGCAUCUGCUAGGAUGCUGGCGUAAUGGCUGUAAGCGGCCCGUCUUGAAACACGGACCAAGGAGUCUAACAUCUAUGCGAGUGUUUGGGUGUCAAGCCCGAACGCGUAAUGAAAGUGAACGGAGGUGGGAACCUUUCGGGGUGCACCAUCGACCGAUCCUGAUGUCUUCGGAUGGAUUUGAGUAAGAGCAUAGCUGUUGGGACCCGAAAGAUGGUGAACUAUGCUUGAAUAGGGUGAAGCCAGAGGAAACUCUGGUGGAGGCUCGCAGCGGUUCUGACGUGCAAAUCGAUCGUCAAAUUUGGGCAUAGGGGCGAAAGACUAAUCGAACUAUCUAGUAGCUGGUUCCUGCCGAGUUUCCCUCAGGG
rnacentral:rRNA from 1 species